rnacentral:sRNA from 1 species
UUUCCGUAGGUGAACCUGCGGAAGGAUCAUUAUCAAAAGUCAAGUCGGGGGCUGUAAAGCUCUCGUCUACACCCAUGUCUUUUGCGUACUCUUGUUUCCUCGGUGGCGCAAGCUGCCGAUUGGACAAACCAAAACCUUUUUUGUAAUUGCAAUCAGCGUCUGAAAAUAAUCUAAUUAUUUACAACUUUCAACAACGGAUCUCUUGGUUCUGGCAUCGAUGAAGAACGCAGCGAAAUGCGAUAAGUAGUGUGAAUUGCAGAAUUCAGUGAAUCAUCGAAUCUUUGAACGCACAUUGCGCCCCUUGGUAUUCCAUGGGGCAUGCCUGUUCGAGCGUCAUUUGUACCCUCAAGCUUUGCUUGGUGUUGGGCGUCUUGUCGUAUUACGACUCGCCUUAAAUUCAUUGGCAGCCGGCACUUUGGCCUAGGAGCGCAGCACAUUUUGCGAUCGUAGCCCGUUGUACUGGCGUCCAUCAAGAACAUUUACCACGUUUGACCUCGGAUCAGGUAGGGAUACCCGCUGAACUUAA